GGCCUCGUAGCUUAAUUGGAUAGAGUAUCUAACUACGGAUUAGAAGGUUGGGGGUUCAACUCCCUUCGGGG
rnacentral:tRNA from 1 species